rnacentral:rRNA from 1 species
UUAAGCGACUAAGCGUACACGGUGGAUGCCCUGGCAGUCAGAGGCGAUGAAGGACGUGCUAAUCUGCGAAAAGCGUCGGUAAGGUGAUAUGAACCGUUAUAGCCGGCGAUGUCCGAAUGGGGAAACCCAGUGCAAUUCGUUGCACUAUCGUUAACUGAAUACAUAGGUUAACGAGGCGAACCGGGGGAACUGAAACAUCUAAGUACCCCGAGGAAAAGAAAUCAACCGAGAUUCCCCCAGUAGCGGCGAGCGAACGGGGAGCAGCCCAGAGUCUGAAUCAGCUUGUGUGUUAGUGGAACGGUCUGGAAAGUCCGACGGUACAGGGUGAUAGUCCCGUACACCAAAAUGCACAGGUUGUGAACUCGAAGAGUAGGGCGGGACACGUGGUAUCCUGUCUGAAUAUGGGGGGACCAUCCUCCAAGGCUAAAUACUCCUGACUGACCGAUAGUGAACCAGUACCGUGAGGGAAAGGCGAAAAGAACCCCGGCGAGGGGAGUGAAAAAGAACCUGAAACCGUGUACGUACAAGCAGUGGGAGCACCUUCGGGUGUGACUGCGUACCUUUUGUAUAAUGGGUCAGCGACUUAUAUUCUGUAGCAAGGUUAACCGUAUAGGGGAGCCGCAGGGAAACCGAGUCUUAACUGGGCGUUAAGUUGCAGGGUAUAGACCCGAAACCCGGUGAUUCAGCCAUGGGCAGGUUGAAGGUUGGGUAACACUAACUGGAGGACCGAACCGACUAAUGUUGAAAAUUAGCGGAUGACUUGUGGCUGGGGUGAAAGGCCAAUCAAACCGGGAGAUAGCUGGUUCUCCCCGAAAGCUAUUUAGGUAGCGCCUCGUGAACUCAUCUUCGGGGGUAGAGCACUGUUUCGGCUAGGGGGUCAUCCCGACUUACCAACCCGAUGCAAACUACGAAUACCGAAGAAUGUUAUCACGGGAGACACACGGCGGGUGCUAACGUCCGUCGUGAAGAGGGAAACAACCCAGACCGCCAGCUAAGGUCCCAAAGUCAUGGUUAAGUGGGAAACGAUGUGGGAAGGCACAGACAGCCGUGAUGUUGGCUUAGAAGCAGCCAUCAUUUAAAGAAAGCGUAAUAGCUCACUGGUCGAGUCGGCCUGCGCGGAAGAUGUAACGGGGCUAAACCAUGCACCGAAGCUGCGGCAGCGACACUAUGUGUUGUUGGGUAGGGGAGCGUUCUGUAAGCCUGCGAAGGUGACCUGUGAGGGUUGCUGGAGGUAUCAGAAGUGCGAAUGCUGACAUAAGUAACGAUAAAGCGGGUGAAAAGCCCGCUCGCCGGAAGACCAAGGGUUCCUGUCCAACGUUAAUCGGGGCAGGGUGAGUCGACCCCUAAGGCGAGGCCGAAAGGCGUAGUCGAUGGGAAACAGGUUAAUAUUCCUGUACUUGGUGUUACUGCGAAGGGGGGACGGAGAAGGCUAUGUUAGCCGGGCGACGGUUGUCCCGGUUUAAGCAUGUAGGCUGGUUGUCCAGGCAAAUCCGGAUAAUCAAGGCUGAGGUGUGAUGACGAGGUACUACGGUGCUGAAGUAACAAAUGCCCUGCUUCCAGGAAAAGCCUCUAAGCAUCAGGUAACAUCAAAUCGUACCCCAAACCGACACAGGUGGUCAGGUAGAGAAUACCAAGGCGCUUGAGAGAACUCGGGUGAAGGAACUAGGCAAAAUGGUGCCGUAACUUCGGGAGAAGGCACGCUGGUGUGUAGGUGAAGUCCCUGCGGAUGGAGCUGAGACCAGUCGAAGAUACCAGCUGGCUGCAACUGUUUAUUAAAAACACAGCACUGUGCAAACACGAAAGUGGACGUAUACGGUGUGACGCCUGCCCGGUGCCGGAAGGUUAAUUGAUGGGGUUAUCCGUAAGGAGAAGCUCUUGAUCGAAGCCCGGUAAACGGCGGCCGUAACUAUAACGGUCCUAAGGUAGCGAAAUUCCUUGUCGGGUAAGUUCCGACCUGCACGAAUGGCGUAAUGAUGGCCAGGCUGUCUCCACCCGAGACUCAGUGAAAUUGAACUCGCUGUGAAGAUGCAGUGUACCCGCGGCAAGACGGAAAGACCCCGUGAACCUUUACUAUAGCUUGACACUGAACAUUGAGCCUUGAUGUGUAGGAUAGGUGGGAGGCUUUGAAGCGUGGACGCCAGUCUGCGUGGAGCCAACCUUGAAAUACCACCCUUUAAUGUUUGAUGUUCUAACGUUGGCCCCUGACCGGGGUUGCGGACAGUGUCUGGUGGGUAGUUUGACUGGGGCGGUCUCCUCCCAAAGCGUAACGGAGGAGCACGAAGGUUAGCUAAUCCUGGUCGGACAUCAGGAGGUUAGUGCAAUGGCAUAAGCUAGCUUGACUGCGAGCGUGACGGCGCGAGCAGGUGCGAAAGCAGGUCAUAGUGAUCCGGUGGUUCUGAAUGGAAGGGCCAUCGCUCAACGGAUAAAAGGUACUCCGGGGAUAACAGGCUGAUACCGCCCAAGAGUUCAUAUCGACGGCGGUGUUUGGCACCUCGAUGUCGGCUCAUCACAUCCCGGGCUGAAGUAGGUCCCAAGGGUAUGGCUGUUCGCCAUUUAAAGUGGUACGCGAGCUGGGUUUAGAACGUCGUGAGACAGUUCGGUCCCUAUCUGCCGUGGGCGCUGGAGAAUUGAGGGGGGCUGCUCCUAGUACGAGAGGACCGGAGUGGACGCAUCACUGGUGUUCGGGUUGUCAUGCCAAUGGCACUGCCCGGUAGCUAAAUGCGGAAGAGAUAAGUGCUGAAAGCAUCUAAGCACGAAACUUGCCCCGAGAUGAGUUCUCCCUGAGACUUUAAGUCUCCUGAAGGAACGUUGAAGACGACGACGUUGAUAGGCCGGGUGUGUAAGCGCAGCGAUGCGUUGAGCUAACCGGUACUAAUGAACCGUGAGGCUUAACCU